CCUACGGGAGGCAGCAGUGAGGAAUAUUGGUCAAUGGGCGCGAGCCUGAACCAGCCAAGUAGCGUGAGGGAUGAAGGUUCUAUGGAUCGUAAACCUCUUUUAUAAGGGAAUAAAGUGUGGGACGUGUCCUAUUUUGUAUGUACCUUAUGAAUAAGGAUCGGCUAACUCCGUGCCAGCAGCCGCGGUACUACGGAGGAUCCGAGCGUUAUCCGGAUUUCUUGGGUUUAAAGGGUGCGUAGGCGGCCUUUUAAGUCAGCGGGGAAAUGUGGUGGCUCAACCAUAGAAUUGCCGUUGAAACUGGGGGGCUUGAGUAUGUGUGAGGCAGGCGGAAUGCGUGGUGUAGCGGUGAAAUGCUUAGAUAUCACGCAGAACCCCGAUUGCGAAGGCAGCCUGCCAAGCCAUGACUGACGCUGAUGCACGAAAGCGUGGGGAUCAAACAGGAGUAGAUACCCCAGUAGUC
rnacentral:rRNA from 1 species